GCACCCAUAGUGAAAUGGAUAUCAUACCGGUCUUCGGAACCGUUGGUCCAGGUUCGAAUCCUGGUGGGUGCA
rnacentral:tRNA from 1 species